rnacentral:rRNA from 1 species
AUGAACGCUGGCGGCGUGCCUAAUACAUGCCAGUCGAGCGAACGGACGAGAAGCUUGCUUUUCUGAUGUUAGCGGCGGACGGGUGAGUAACACGUGGAUAACCUACCUAUAAGACUGGGAUAACUUCGGGAAACCGGAGCUAAUACCGGAUAAUAUUUUGAACCGCAUGGUUCAAAAGUGAAAGACGGUCUUGCUGUCACUUAUAGAUGGAUCCGCUCUGCAUUAGCUAGUUGGUAAGGUAACGGCUUACCAAGGCAACGAUGCAUAGCCGACCUGAGAGGGUGAUCGGCCACACUGGAACUGAGACACGGUCCAGACUCCUACGGGAGGCAGCAGUAGGGAAUCUUCCGCAAUGGGCGAAAGCCUGACGGAGCAACGCCGCGUGAGUGAUGAAGGUCUUCGGAUCGUAAAACUCUGUUAUUAGGGAAGAACAUAUGUGUAAGUAACUGUGCACAUCUUGACGGUACCUAAUCAGAAAGCCACGGCUAACUACGUG